rnacentral:rRNA from 1 species
UACGUAGGGGGCAAGCGCUGUCCGGAAUUAUUGGGCGUAAAGAGCUUGUAGGCGGUUUGUCGCGUCUGCUGUGAAAAUCCGGGGCUCAACCCCGGACUUGCAGUGGGUACGGGCAGACUAGAGUGUGGUAGGGGAGACUGGAAUUCCUGGUGUAGCGGUGAAAUGCGCAGAUAUCAGGAGGAACACCGAUGGCGAAGGCAGGUCUCUGGGCCACUACUGACGCUGAGAAGCGAAAGCAUGGGGAGCGAACAGG